CAUUAUAUUGAUAAUUGACAUGCACAGAGUGACCUGACGCAAUGUGAAAAGCAUUCUCUGUUUUUGAUGCAUAAAGUAGAUUGGAGGAGGCAAGGAUAAAUAUAAGAAUAUCAGCCAAGGGAAGAAAUGAUAGUCAAAGGGUGAACAUAGAACGUGUGAAGUGAACUCUUACUUACAAAUGCGCCAGGAUGUGGAUUGGAUAAGGCAGAGCUCCUCUGAAGAGGCAGGCAUGAGGGUCAGAGUGGCCGAUAUCUACUUCCUGACCCUAAGGUGGUCGCUGAACCUGGCCAUGGAACCCCAGGCACCUCAGAAGGGACACAAGAGAACACUCAGGGAACCAGAUGGCUCUGAGACCCCCUGAGGCCUUCCCAUUCCAACACCAUAUCUCUUCAAACCUCAGUGGCCCAGCUGCAAGGUCAUUCAAAGGACAAUAAGAUCUUCUGAUCAUUUUUUGUGUUGGAUAGGGCAGCAUGAUAAUGUGACCCAUUACUAUGGGUAACGACAUAGAGAAAGAAAUUCACCGGGAGUGAGCUGUGUGAGGAUGCUGAAGACCUCUGAACGGUGAGAGGCCUUGACUAAUCUGACGCAGACAAAGUCUGGAAGGAAUAGAGUUGACAUCCGAAUAGCUGUAAAUCCGCAGCGGGGCAGGCAGUCUAUGUUAGCAUCCAAAAGGCUGCAGAGGUAGCGGAGGGAAAGCUGAAUGCGGUGUUCAUGGCCACAGUUUCCUUUCAUUCUAUAAAGAGUGUGCUUGUCAAGCACCAUCUGGAAGAUGAUAUGCAGCCCCUUCUCCGUGACGAAUGAAGACACGCAGAGGCAGAUUCCAGAACAGCAUCUACAUCUUUGUUCAUUGAUGUCAGACACAAAAUUGAGUUGUUUAAAAACUUGCUCUCGAGUACAGCACAAAAGUCAUGGUGCAGGAAGGGCAUAUGGAACUUGGACAAGCCAAGAAGGCGAGGUUUUAAUCUGAAAUUGUAAACAAACGUGCUCUGGUAGAG
rnacentral:lncRNA from 1 species